rnacentral:misc_RNA from 1 species
GGAAAUAGUCUGCAGUAUUUUAUUAAACGGCAAAUCAUUAAUAAAAAGGAGAACAAAAACAGGCAGUAACCCCUCCAAUGCAGAGAUAGCAGUAAGUCUUGCAACACUAUCCGGACACCAAAAGCAUCACUAGUGCCAUCCCAUCUGAAGACUUGGUGCAAAACUUAGUCAUAACCCCAGAGUAGGUGGAAUAAGAUUUAAACAAACAGGGAGAACCUUUCUAGUCUCUGUACUGUCUUUUAUGCCUCUCUCCUCUUUUUGAGAAAAGAUAAAAUUGGGGGAUCAUAAUCAGCAACUCAUUUGAAAAAUUUUCAAGAAACUUGACUCAAUAAAAGCAGCCCAUGGACUUCUUUAACUACCAUAAUUAAUGUUCCUAGCAUGCAACUGAAAGAAAUGAGUUCCAAAACAGCCUAGACAGAUGCCCUCCCUUCCAGGAUGACCAAAAGCAGAGUGAUCCCCGGGUAGUUGGCCAAUUACAAAUAUAAAAUCACGAUCAUAAAGGUUUGCAAAUUGGUGAAAACAUAGCUAGAGUUGGAUACACCUAAGUAGCUCCUCUUUGACUUCCUGUUGUUCUCCUGCUUAAAAUGCUAGAGAUCAUCAAAACUAUUAAGAAUUCUAACUCCUGUUAUACACACACAACAAAAACACAUCAUCCUGAAUUUUACUCACCACUUGAACUUAACAAAAUAAGGUAUGUAUAUAAGAAAAGAGGGAUGGAAUGAGACAAGCAAAAAUUGGCAAAUAUGAGCUAUACUUCUCAACAAUGUUACUUAAAAAACGGUAACAAGUACAGUUGUCUUCACCAAAAAGGAAUUAUCUCUUUGUUAUGUCAUCCUUCUUUAUGGUGAAAUCCCAAAGGUCACCAUACUUCUCAUUGAAGUCCCAAAUGCUCAUUGUGUUGUAAUCAUUUAUUAACUUGUCACGAGCUCCCCUCUCCAUGUUGUAUAUCUGCGGUUCGAAGUUGUGAGGCUUAUCGGGCUUAUCCAUCUCUAUUAUGCAAAAUAUUAAUAUAAAUAAGCCUGCUCCAAUGAACAGAUACUCCCCCUAAAACACAAAAGAUCACAUAAAAACUCUCACAAUCAUAUCAAUUAGCAAAUAUAAUUUGCUAUUUAUUAAAUCACGUAUUAAAGUUUACUCUGAUUUAAAAUUACCGGAACAUUGAAAAACAUCCCAGCUGCAACUGCUGGAAGAAAGAGCCAUGAAAUAAAUCCUGCAAAUCAAUAAUUAAAAAUCAAACCUGAAAAUUUUAUCACUUGUAAUCUACAUGAUCUAUAUCAUUGAAAACGUUUGUGAUACUUAGUUAGUUAUUUAUACCCUGAAAACCUGUUGGCGGCUCUACUGCAUUAAUAUCUUCUGCAAUUAAUUCCCAAAAUGUUCCUGAAAAACUCAAGAAAAAUUAUUAAAUACUUAUGAAUAUUGCAAUGUUAAUCGGCCUAUUAAAAAUACUAUGCUAACCCGGCUAAUUCUGAAAAUGGGUAUAGCGAUGAAAGCAAACAGCCAAACUGCAGAAUUUAAUAAAGAAGCGACAAUAAUCUGAGAAAAACCUACUCUUUUCCUGGCCUUCGAAAUAGGUAUGAUGAUCAUCAUACUCUCCAUACUUAAAAUCUUCCUGAAUUCAGCAGUACACAGAAGCAAUUAUCUUUGUAAGCAAGACCCACUCACACACACAUAUGGUCGAUCUAUAAGAUGAAAGAAAAACUUACAGGAUCAAUACCGGGAGUGGCCCAACGGUCAAUCGGAUCUUCGUUGAGAUCAGGCUCAAUCUCAGACAAUCCAGCUGCAUUUAGUCUCGUUGAGCUAUAUCUACCACCCAACCUCUCGUAAAACUUGAGGGUUUUCUUGUUCAAAACUCCAAUUCUGGUUUCGAAAUGGUCGGAGCGGAAUUGGGGCACUGGAUUUGCCACGAGAACUGAGAGCGAGGACCGAACCGCCAUCUUUUUUGCCUUAUCUUUCUU